rnacentral:rRNA from 1 species
AGUGAACGCUGGCGGUAGGCCUAACACAUGCAAGUCGAACGGCAGCACAGUAAGAGCUUGCUCUUACGGGUGGCGAGUGGCGGACGGGUGAGGAAUACAUCGGAAUCUACUUUUUCGUGGGGGAUAACGUAGGGACACUUACGCUAAUACCGCAUACGACCUACGGGUGAAAGCAGGGGAUCUUCGGACCUUGCGCGAUUGAAUGAGCCGAGGUCGGAUUAGCUAGUUGGCGGGGUAAAGGCCCACCAAGGCGACGAUCCGUAGCUGGUCUGAGAGGAUGAUCAGCCACACUGGAACUGAGACACGGUCCAGACUCCUACGGGAGGCAGCAGUGGGGAAUAUUGGACAAUGGGCGCAAGCCUGAUCCAGCCAUACCGCGUGGGUGAAGAAGGCCUUCGGGUUGUAAAGCCCUUUUGGUGGGAAAGAAAAGCAGCAGGUUAAUACCCCGCUGUUCUGACGGUACCCAAAGAAUAAGCACCGGCUAACUUCGUG